UGCUUCCUGCCAUGACAUAAUGGACUAAACCUCUGAACUGCUACCUGCCAGGAAGAGUCCAGGAGGCUUGCACACUUUCUGGGCUACAACUGACUCUGAUACCACUGUUCAAGAAAGAAGUGAGAAGUUUGUGAGCAGAGGCAACAGGUUUGCCCUGAGCAGAUGAUGCACGCACCUGGAGGCAGAUGUCCUGGAACAGACUGUGAGUAUGUGUCAGCCUGUGGCAGAUGCCUCGGUGCCUCCCCUGCUCUCAGCUCUGAAGCACAGGCCCUAAUGAUAACAGUCGUGCAGCAAGUAUGGGGUGACCCCCU